rnacentral:rRNA from 1 species
GACAGAGGGUGCAAACGUUGCUCGGAAUCACUGGGCGUAAAGGGCGUGUAGGCGGGAAGGUAAGUCGGGCGUGAAAGCCCCGGGCUUAACUUGGGAAUUGCGCUCGAAUCUACGUGGCUCGAGUGUGGCAGAGGAAGGUGGAAUUCCACGUGUAGCGGUGAAAUGCGUAGAGAUGUGGAGGAACACCGGUGGCGAAGGCGGCAUACUGGACCACUUCUGACGCUGAGGCGCGAAAGCCAGGGGAGCGAACGGG